UACCAGCACCCCGAGUGGUCGGGACGAUUAUUGGGCCUAAAGCAUCCGUAGCCGGCCUUACAAGUCCUCCGUUAAAUCCAGCUGCUUAACAGAUGGGCUGCGGAGGAUACUAUAAGACUAGGAGGCAGGAGAGGCAAGCGGUACUCAGUGGGUAGGGGUAAAAUCCGUUGAUCCAUUGAAGACCACCAGUGGCGAAGGCGGCUCACUGGGCUGACCUUGACGCUGAGGCGCGAAGGCGUGGGGAGCGAACGGG
rnacentral:rRNA from 1 species